UACGUAGGGUGCAAGCGUUGUCCGGAAUUAUUGGGCGUAAAGAGCUCGUAGGCGGUUUGUCGCGUCUGCCGUGAAAGUCCGGGGCUCAACUCCGGAUCUGCGGUGGGUACGGGCAGACUAGAGUGAUGUAGGGGAGACUGGAAUUCCCGGUGUAGUGGUGGAAUGCGUAGAUAUCGGGAAGAACACCAGUGGCGAAAGCGGCUCUCUGGGGACCAUCUGACGCUGAGGCGCGAAAAGCGUGGGGAGCGAACCGGG
rnacentral:rRNA from 1 species